rnacentral:lncRNA from 1 species
AAAAAGGUGGUGGUCUGGUCUAAGGAGGGGAGGUGGGCGUGGUGGAUGCGAUGUGCGCCGACCUGUUAUCCUCCCACCGUCAAGAGAGAGUGGUGAUCGCUGCUCUGUGAAGCCAGCCUGACGCGGUGCCCUCUGCUCUAAGAACCAAGAAGCACAGGCCUUCGCCCAAGCCGCAUGGCUCAAUCUACCUGACUUGGAACGGGCAGGCCAGGCUUCUACACGAUCGCAACCAACCCAGAUGUGGCUCCAUAGACCAUUCCAAACCUCAUUUGCCCACGCUUGUGUUACAAGCCAACGCUACCUGGCUCGGCGAUAGAAGCGCUUCCAAAGCUUAAGAUAAGGUUUAUACAUCUAAUUAGAAUGGCGAUGUGGGACUAAUUCAACAUUCGUCCUCAGCGAUUCAUGCACCAAUUGUUUAUUGUCUUUCUCUUCUUUGACGUAAAAGCUUCGGUUGUCAUAUAUUGAUUUAUCAUUCGGAGUAGAUCGAAAUUAUCGUUAAAGUUUAAUGGCUAAGGAUUGCAUGGAUCAUCAUCUUAGACCAUUAGUGACUGCAUAGAUCAUCAUGGGUGGGUGUAAAUGACUAUUUGUCAAGUUUCGUCAUUGAACCUUAUAAUUAGUUAUGAACAAAUCAUUACCUUAUCGAAAUGGUUAACAGUACUAUUGUAGAUUUCUUUGUGUCUUUCUUACUUACGAAGUAGACUUUGAAUUCUUUUACUGACCAUUUGAAAGAUAUGAUCGAAGUAAGAUGAAAUUGAGAGUAGAGAAUUUCUUUUAAAAAAAGUACAACAUAUGAGUGUGAGAAAUAGUGUGUGGGGCCAUUUGCAUCAUGAAUGCAUCGACAUGAUCCAGAGCUUCCAUAAAAAAUCUCUAGAUUUGGUAGAUGAAAUUAGAGAGAACAAGUUUCUCAAAAAUUUAAUGAGUGAUAGGAGAUUCGCUCGAUAGAACCACUUAGUAAAGUUCUUAACCCUUUUGGAUCUCAUGUUACAUGUCAUCAAUUGUUCAUGCGAAGGUAUACUCAUCUUAUUAGUGGAGUGCACCUCAUAUUGAGGUAGACAUGGUUGAGGCUAGACUUGAGGCUAGACUUGAUUGGCCUAUUGAGGAAGCAAUUACGAUGGUAAGGGAGAGGCUUGUGAUAUUGGGUGUGGGAUGAUCGACUCGGAGUUCUCUAUGAUGCUCAAAAUUGAUCUCGAUUAUGAAUUUUUUUAUGGUUUAUAAAUAAUUAGAUUGUGUUGUUAUGCGUUAUAUCAAUUAUGAGUGAAAGAGACAAUAGUCUAUAUCAUCAUAGUCGAGUCUUAUUGGGUGACUCCAUAGAAGUCCUUAGCUAGUUGACUUGAGCUAGACUCCCAAUUGAAAAUAAAAACCAUGAUCACUUACGACUCUCAUUGAUAGCAUAUAUCUAGAAUCAAUCUGGAUGCUCAUAUAAAGAGGUCGACUUCCUUUUAACAUUAUGGUAAGAUUAAAUUUGGUCAUCAAUUCAAUUUGAUACAAAUGAUUUGACUUAAUCUGUUUUUGAGUAUGAUAAAAAGAAGUCAUUAAGUAUUUGAACAGUAUCAUGCGUCCCUUAACCCAAUUGGAUUCAAGAAUCAAUUAUAUUUGUACCUUAUAUCAUGUUUUUUUUUUUUAAACUUUAUAGGGUUUGUUUGGUAAAAUCACUCUGAUGAUUAAAUUAGUGUACGUCUAUAAGCAUCUAAAGCCGAUGUGUGUGUUAAGUAAAUUUUGAAUGAAAUCAUAGUUAAGAAGAUCACCUUAUAUAACAUCAUUCUAAUAAUUAUCUUGCUUCUUACACAAGGAUUUGUCUAGUAAAUUAAUAUAUGCUCAUAAGCAUCUAAAACCAGUGAGUAUUUAUUAACUUCUUCAUCACUUUCGAUAACUAAUAUAUAACAUGUCUAGCCUAUAUAUAACAUGUUAUAUGUUAUAUAUAAGUUAUAUAACAUCAUGCAAGCUUAUUAAUUGCAUGCUCUUUUGAAGCAAAUUGUUUCUUGGAAAAUCUAUUUGUUAGUGAACCGAUGCACUGCUGUGGUUGAUGAGUUAGCACGACUUAAUUCACGGAUCGAUGUCGGGAGUCUUCGAUCGUCUGAGCUGGUUGCUGAGGUCGGAAAGCUGGUUGGUGGCUCUUACUCGAGACGUUGGUUGAUGGUUCUCCGCCGGGAUGCUGGUCGGCGCGUAGGGGGAGGCAAUCUCUCUUGAUCGAAAUGAUCUUGCUUUGGGGAUGAUCGCUCUCUUGCACAGAAGGACCCGUCGGGUGAUUACCGAUUGUGACCCCUCAAUCAAUCAAUCAGUGUGGAGUUAUCUUUUUUCCUUUUUUCCCCUUGGCCAGAUGCCGCCAUGAGCUUUUAUACUAUUGUACGAGGGUUGGUCAUACGCGGGUUUGGCAUGACGAUCGAUCCUCGAGAGGUGAGAUGGUACCUUUAUGCGACCGCCGUCCCAGGCUUACCGGGUCGGGACAUACCGAGCAACGUCUUAGUAUGAUCUUUGGCUCAGUGUGUGGGGGUGCUCCCCUGACUUGACUGUAGCGUAGCAUGACCUCGAUUGUGACGUGGCCUGAAGCCAAAAUGUAUCUUAUCACUGUUAAUGAUAGAUUAAUACAUCUUUAUCGAAUGGAAAUGAUGCAAAUGUUUACUCGUAAGGAUAGGUGAAACCAUUUCAAAUUGAAUUGGACGUCAAUUUAAUUCAAAAUUUUAAAGUUAAUAAAUUAUAGGUUAGACUCGAAUAUAUAUCAUUCGGCUUUCUAUGUUUAUCAAUAUGAGGCUAUUUUCUUCGUCAUCUUUUUCAAUCUCUCCUCACACAUGAAUAUCUUCUUUGAACAUAAUUACCUGAAAUGAGCUUGCAUCAGAUAACUAAAACCAGAUGACUCAUGUGGCAUUUUCUUGACAGUGUUCUAAGAUGUGUUCUUUCCGUAAUAGAUGCACAUCUUUGUCUUGUAUGAUGGAACAGUAGAAAGCCUGAUGAACAGUAGAAACCAUGCACCUCAAGACCAAGAGUAAAAUAUAAGCAGGCAAUGAAAGAAUUCAGCAAUUAUUUUCGAACCCCAUCAACAAAGAAUAUCUACUAAACGAACAAUAUAUUAUCUGCAGGGCACCGAACAGGGAAAAAAAUUGGAAGCUAUAAUCCUCGUUAAAAGGCAAAACUUACGAGCUUUAUGGCAACCUCUUCGUUUGUUUAGAGAUUAAUUCCUGCAUCAAAAGAUAACAACAACAACAACAACCCCACACGAUCAGAUUUUUAUCAUUCCUGCAACAAAAAAAAGGAAAAAUCUGCACGAAGUAGCACCCGAAUUGAGAAAAGAUCGAAACCGAAAGAGGCCACAGACCUAAAUAGAUCUCUCCAAAGGAACCGCUCCCGAUCUUGCGACCAAGGCGGAACUUGUCCCCCACGCGAGGCUCCAUCCGACGGAGAUCAGAAACAGGAGCGACCGCAACGCUCCCGACUCAAACCAUGUCCAAAGAAAAAGAGGGUCCAACAAGAACGGCGAAGCCCCACACUCGAUAUCACGAAGACAUCAUCGACUCACCGUAACGAAAGAAGAAGAUGAUACAAGGAUUCCGGCAAUUCGAUCACGCAAGGAUUUCGCAAUCGAGAUUAAUCGAUCGAGGAAUUAAGACGAGGAUGUCAGUGUCAUUAAGACGAGAGAUCUGCUUGCAAAAAAGUAGGGUUUGACGGAGAGGGAGAGAAGGGGAAAGAGCAGAGAGUGGAAGGGAAGAAGCAGAGGAUAACGUAUUCGGUCACGCUUUAUUCCCGUUGGUGUUGGAACAGCUUGUACGGAAUAGCGUACUAACCAUACAGCAAACUCCAACCUACGUAUUAGGCAAAAUUGUAGUAUUGCGCAACUUUGGAGUCAUGUUUUGGCGUCACCUUUGAGGUGAGGACUUAUAGUCAUCAUUACAUUCAUAAACGAUUUAAUUAUGCUUUAUUUAUUUAUUUUUAUUUUGGAUGAAUAUAUUGUAUGCAAAAAAAAAAAGGAAAGGAUUUUAGAAUGCAUCAAACGUCUUAGAUUUUUUUUUUAACUAUGGACAAAUGCUUUUUUUUUCCUGCAUAAUUGCGUUUUCUUUGAUGUUUGAUGCUUUAUAUAUUUUUUAAUUCCGAAUGAAUAUAUUAUGUAAAAAAAUAUUUUAAAAUAUAUUAAAUAUUUUAUUUUUUUUAGAAUGUUCAAAUGUUUCAAAUAUUUUUUUUAUUUUGGAUAAAUAUAUCUUAUGCAAAAGAAACACAUGCGUCACACGCAACGACUUGAUCCCAUUGAAUAUCUUGAAUGAUUUUUUAUUUUAGAUAAAGGUUUAUUUAUCAUAUCAUAUGUCUUGGAUUUUUUUUUUUUCAUAGACAGAUAUAUCAUGUACGAAGAGGAUGUGUUGGUCGUUUCGAAUACGUUUUUUGAUUUAGACGGAUAUAUAAGAAUGUGUUGAUAAAAAGGACUUAUAUAUGUUUAUAUUAUAGUUUUUGACAUAAAUGAUGGUGUGGCGCAGUGGUGAAAAUUCUCAACCAUUAAAAAAAUAAUAAUAAUCUCGAUCAGAAUGAACAUAAACUACGUUUCUUUUCUUUCGUGAGUUGAGGAAGAUGGAUUUGACCAGUUGAGAUUGGGCGAUUGAGUUGGUUGGCCUGACGCAUCGAUGAAGAAGAAUGUGGAGCGAGAGAAGGAAGAGUUAGAGAUAGUCAUACAUAUAUAUAAGUCCUUCGUCAAUCGUUUUAACACGUACAAAGGUCGGUAUGGGUGAUAAAGGGAGAGAAAGAUGGCAUGGUUUAAUUAGUUAGAGGUGCAAACGAUUAUCUUUUGUGAGACUGUGUUGAAAAGAAUAAAGACUUUUAUUCUUCUGUUUUUUGGUGAGGGUGAGAGGUUGGGACUACGUAGGAAUGGCUGUGUGGGGAGGAUGGAGACUUCUUUUCUGAGGUUGAUAGGUGGGCGACUGUGUAGGAGGAAAGCCCGACCUGUUGACAUUGGGAUCUAAGAAGAUUGGCUGGCCCGACUUGGAUUUCCCUAUUUGUGUUACAAGUUUUAAUUAUUAUGGGCUGAUGCUUAAAAUGGCGGUAAACAAUUUCAUUUUUAGAGUGAAUAGUGAGUUGUAAUCUUCCAUUAGCUCCUCACAACAAAUCUAUGAUCAAUUUAACGACUUGGUCAUCUUGAACGUGUGAUCGUAUCUUACGGGCAUGACCAUUUUGAGGAAAGUGGUUAUAUGAUCAUUUCGAGGUUUUGAAAGACGUAAUUGAUUUGAGGAGUGAUCAUCAUUAUAAUAUGAUUGACUCGAGGAUUGAUCGAGUUGGAGUGAGAUCCAAUCUUGGGCGCAUAUAUUUGCCUCAUUGACACGAUGAGAUAAUGGAGAUUGAGUGAGAUCCAAGCUUGUUUAUUGUUUUUCUUUUCUCCGAUGUAAGAGCUUCGGUUGUCAUAAGAUUUACCAUUUGGAGUGAUUGAAAUUAUUGUUAAAGUUUGAUGACUAGUGAAUGCAUGGAUUAUCAUAUUAGACCAUUAAUGAAUGCAUAGAUCAUCGUGCGUGGGUGUAAAUGACUACUUGCCAAGUCUUGUCAUUGAACGUUAUAACAUAGUCGAUAAGGUAUAUUUUGGAUUCUGAUCACGUCACGACCCAUGUUGCAUCACGCCCCUGCCAAGUUAGCACGAGGGGUGCUUCCUUGUGCUGAGCCGAAGCCCGUACAGGGAGGCGUCCCCUCGGCGAGUCCCAUCCCGGAAAGCUCGGGAUGGUGCCGCAUGGCGCCAUUCCGUGCAUACCAGGCGACGAUCGCACAAUAGUACCAUCUCAUCACUCGGGGGAUCGGUAGCCAUGCCAAAUCCGCAUACGACCGAUCCUUUGGCAAUAGCAUAAAAGCCAAAGAUCGGUAUCUGGCCAGGGGGAAGAAAAAAAGAGAAAAAAGGACUAUUGACUUAAUCUACGAGGGGCCCAAGUCGGGAACCUCCUGACCAGAGCCUAUGUACAAGAACUCGGCCACCCCCCAGAGGCGCAACCAUCCCGAUCGAGAGACGCGUUCCUAAAGACGACGUUAAUAUCCCGACUCCUGAUCCUACCGACAUCAGCACUUCUUCCAAACGGCCAAGAGACGCAUUCCCAGAAGAUAUGACGUUAACAUCCCAACCCCUAAUCCAACCAACUCUAGCACUUUGCCCAACCGAUCGAGAUCUCCUGACAUUGACUUGUGGAUGAAGUCAUGCUGACUUCUCGACCACGACACAUAAGUUUACCAAUAAUCAGAAAUAAAUUAUUAUUUUAUCGAAUGAUUAAUAGCACCAUUGCAGACUUCUUUGUGUCUUUCUUGCUUACAAAGUAGAUUUUGAAUUCUUUUACUAACUAUCUAAAAGAUACGAUCGAGGCAAGAUGAAACUGAGAGUAUCAUUCCCGAGCAUUUCCUUAAAGAAAAGUACAACAUAUGAGAGUAUGAUAGAUGGUGUGUGGCGCCAUUUGCAUCAUGAAUGCAUCCACAUGAUCCAAGGGGUCAUAGAGCUUCCAUCAAAAGUUUCUAGAUUUGAUAGAUGGAAAUUGGAGGGAAUAAAUUUCUCAUGAAUUUAAUGAGUGAUAGGAGUUUUCCUCGACAGAACCACUUAGUCCAGCUCUUAACCCUUUUAGAUCUUGUAUUACAUGUCAUCAACUAUUCAUGCAAAGUUAGACUCGUCUUGUUGGUGGAGUGCACCUCAUAUUGAGGUAGAGAUGGUUGAGACUAGACACGAUUGGCCUAUUGAGGAAGCAAUUACGAUGGUAAAGGAGUGGCUUGUGAUAUUGGGACAGUUGGUGGGAUGAUCGACUUGGAGUUCUCUAUGAUGCUCAAAAUUGAUCUCGAUUAAGAAAUUUUUUAUGGUUUAUAAAUAAUUAGAUUGUGUGUUGUUAUGAGUUAUGUCAAUUAUGAGUGAAAGGGACAAUGGUCUAUAUCAUCCUAGUCGAGUCUUAUUGGGUGAAUCCAUAUAAGUCCUUAGCAAGCUGACUUAGAGUUAGAUUUUCAAUUGGAAAGAAAAACCAUGAUCACUUAGGACUCAUUGAUAGCAUAUAUCUAGAAUCAAUCUGGAUGCUCAGGUUGACUGUUGUAAUAAAAAUUAAGAGACAUGUUUCUUCGUCAAUAUGUUCUUAUGGGGACUUUCUAUAUUUGAUUUUCUUAUAAUAUUAUUUUAAGGGCCUUCCUUUUAACGCUAUGCUAAGGUCAAAUUUGGAUGCUCAGGUUGACUGUUGUAAUAAAAAUUAAGAGACAUGUUUCUUCGUCAAUAUGUUCUUAUGGGGACUUUCUAUAUUUGAUUUUCUUAUAAUAUUAUUUUAAGGGCCUUCCUUUUAACGCUAUGCUAAGGUCAAAUUUAGUCAUCAAUUCAACUUGGUAAAAAUGAUUCGACUUAGACUUGUUUUUUAGUACUAUCAUAUAUGAAAAAAUAAAUUAUUAAGUAUUUAAAACUUGGAUGAUGGAAAUUUUUUUUGAAUAGUAUCAUGCGCCCUUAUCCCAAUUUGAUUUAAGAAUCAAAUAUAUUUAUAAUUUUAUUAGAGCAAAUAACAUAUCACUAGUCAAAUUUAAUUUAUUGACUAUAAUAUCUUUAAAAAUCUUCUAUAAUAUUUCUAAAUUUUAAAAUGCUUUUUAAUUUUUUGGACGAAUAUCGAAAAAUAAAAAAGGCCGUGGUCUGGUCUAAGGAGGGGAGGUGGGCGUGGUGGAUGCGAUGUGCGCCGACCUGUAAUCCUCCCACCGUCAAGAGAGAGCGGUUAUCGUUGCUCUGUGAAGCCAGCCUGACGCGGUGCCCUCUGCUCUAAGAACCAUGAAUCACAGGCCUUCGCCCAAGCCGCAUGGCUCAGCUACCUGACUUGGAACGGGCAGGCCAGGCUUCUACACGAUCGCAACCAACCCAGCUGUGGCUCCAUAGACCAUUCCAAACCUCAUUUGCCCCCGCUUGGGUUACAAGACAACGCUACCUGACUCGGCGAUGGUAGCGCUUCCAAAGCUUAAGAUAAGGUAUAUACAUCUAAUUAGACUGGCGAUGUGGGACUAAUACAACAUUCGUCCUCAGCGAUUCAUGCACCAAUUGUUUAUUGUCUUUCUCUUCUUUGACGUAAAAGCUUCGGUUGUCAUAUAUUGAUUUAUCAUUUGGAGUUGAUCGAAAUUAUUGUUAAAGUUUAAUGGCUAACGAUUGCAUGGAUCAUCAUCUUAGACCAUCAAUGAAUGCAUAGAUCAUCAUGGGUGGGUGUAAAUGACUACUUGUCAUUGAACCUUAUAACAUAAUUAACUAUAAAUAAAUUAUUAUCUUAUCGAAUGGUUAACAGUACUAUUGUAGAUUUCUUUGUGUCUUUCUUACUUACGAAGUAGACUUUGAAUUCUUUUACUGACCAUAUGAAAGAUGAGAUUGAGAGUAUCAUUCUCGAGAAUUUUUUUAAAAAAAAGUACAAUAUAUGAGUGUGAGAAAUGACGUGUGGGGCCAUUUGGUAGAUGGAAAUUGGAGAGAACAAGUUUUCCAGAAAUUUAAUGAGUGAUAAGAGAUUCGCUCGAUAAAACCACUUAGUCAAGCUCUUAACCCUUUUGGAUCUUGUGUUACAUGUCAUCAAUUGUUCAUGCGAAGUUAUACUCAUCUUAUUGGUGGAGUGCACCUCUUAUUGAGGUAGACAUGGUUGAGGCUAGACUUGAUUGGCCUAUUGAGGAAGCAAUUACGUUGGUAAAGGAGAGGCUUGUGAUAUUGGGUCAGUUGGUGGGACGAUCGACUUGGAGUUCUCUAUGAUGCUUAAAAUUGAUCUCGAUUAUGAAUUUUUUUAUGGUUUAUAAAUAAUUAGAUUGUAUUGUUAUGUGUUAUAUCAAUUAUGAGUGAAAGGGACAAUAGUCUAUAUCAUCAUAGGCGAGUCUUAUUGAGUGACUCCGUACAAGUCCUUAGCAAGCUAAUUUGAGUUAGAUUCCCAAUUAGAAAGAAAAAUCAUGAUCACUUAAGAUUCUCAUUCAUAGUAUAUAUCUAGACUCAAUCCGGAUGCUCCUAUAAAGAGGUCGACUGUCGUAGUAAAAAUUGAGACAUGCUUCUUCAUCAAUAACUUUUUCAUCAUCUUUGCUAAUUAAUAUAUAACAUAUAUAGAGUCAUAAUUGAUCGAAAAUAAUAAAGAUAUUACUGAUAAAUCUCAAUUCAAUGACUAGAACAUAUCUAACUUAUUUUAUAUUAUCAAAUUUUAAAAAUACUUUUAUUACUUGGAUGAAUAUCAAGUUAAUAUUUGAUCGAGAUGUACUGUACAUAAAAUUAAAAUAUAUGGGGAUAAAUAAUUUAUUUAACAUAUUUUAUAUUAUCAAAUUUUGAAAUACAUUGAUUAUUUGGAUGAAUAUCAAGUUAAUAUUUGACCGAGAUGUACAUCAAAUUAAAACGUAUGCAGACAAAUAUUUCAUUUUAAACAUUACAAGAAUAUAUAUAUAUAUAUUAUUUUCAGCACCUCUAUUAAAAAUAUACAUAAUACGGUAAAAAAAGGUGGUGGUUUGGUCAAAGUGGGACAGGUGGGCAUAUGGUGGGUGCUGCAUGUGCCGGCCUGUUAUCCUUCCACCGUCGAGAGCGGGAGGUAGUCGCUGCUCUCAGGCAACGCCCAAACCUUAAUAUAAGGAUUUUGAUGACUAGAAGCAGUAAAGAUGUGGGACAAAGACGACAUACUUCCUCCCUUCCGUCUGCAGCGAUUCAUGCACCAAAUGCUUUGGAGAAGAGACGAACUGCGUUGCGCAUUUGGGAUUUUGGGAGAGGCUGGAUUUAGUUGUAUUCUUCGUAGAGAUGGAGGAAAUUUCUCAUCUGAUUAACAACUAUUAGCAAUCUGUGUUUUGCUCUUCUGUUCAGCUUCCACAAGUCAUCAGAUGUGUCUGCUUCAGAUCGAGGAAGGCAUUGGCAACAACUCUGAAUCAACAUAUAUACUUGAGAAAUAAUUUUUUGUGCAUGAUUUAUGGGAGGCUAAACGAAAUCUCCAUAGCCAGAAAUGGAGGGAUGACAAACAUCUUGUCGCAGGAAAAUGCUACGAACUUGGUGAGUUUUCACAUGGUUCAAGAAAACAACAGAUACAGAGAUAAGACUUGAUUGACUAGAACUGUAGCUCAUGGACUGAUGCUUCGAUGAACUCAAAAAUAUGGUGAAACUGAUGUGAAGUUAUGAUCAAGUCGGGGCGACAUGGCCAUCCGUCUUCGAGGACACGAAAUGACUCGAGGAGCAGUCAUCUUAACGAUGCGGCCAACUCGAGCAAAAGAUCAUCUUGAAGAAGCGGCAACCAACUCGAGGAGCGAUCGAUUGCCGAUAAAAUGGAGUUCAAAUUCUUUCACUAGAUAUCUGAAAGAAGUGAUCGAGGUGAGAAAAAGAAGAGAGUAUUAUUUUUUGAUAUUUUCUCAAAAUGUAAUAGGAAAAGCUCGACAUACGAGGGUGUUUGGAGGUGAUUGUUGGUGCCAUUUGCACCCUGAAUGUAGCAGCAACAUGCUUUGAGGGGUCAAAGCUUCCGUCAAAAAUCUCCGUAUUGGGCAGAUGAAAAUUACAAGGGAUAAGUUCUUGAAAAGAACAAUGACUCGAACUAAAUUCAAGAUAGGAAAAUGAUUACUAUAAUCACUUAAAGCUAAUUACUAGUAGUGUUAAUUUUGAAAUCGAUUCAAAUACUCCUACGAAGAGGAAGGUAGAGGCCUGUUAUCUAACAUCGAUUCGAUUGUUACAACAAAAAAUGAGAGAGAUAUCUCUUUAUCAACAUAUUUUUUCAAGACUUGUUAUGUUUAAUUUUUUAUGAUAUUGUCAUGAGGAUUCUCUUUCUAGCAUCAAUAUGAUAAGGUCUAUUUUGAUCAUCAACUUGAACUAAUGAAUUUGAUCUAACUUGCAUGAGGAUUUUUUUUUCUCAAAAUAAAUAAUGUAUGUAUCGACGAUAAGUGCUCGCUAAUAUUAAUUAUAUUUGGGGUUUCUUUGAUAAUGUAUUUAUAACCCAUAAAUGUUCAUUUAGCAAAUUUUAAAAUAAAAAUAUACUUAUGAGAAUGGUAUAAUUUUUAUAAUUAUCAAUUUGCUUAAAGAAUUUGCUUCAAAUAUGCUCAACUGGUAGCACAUACUAAACAAGUGUUUUGCUCUCUACUGUAGCUAAUAUAGCCAAGUCCGGUCAGCAUUGAUUACAUUCUGUGUUGGAGUCCUAAUCGAUCAAAAAUAAUAUAUCUUUAAAAUUCUUAUAUUAAAAGUUUAACAAUAAUUUAUAUUAUGCGAUGUGCGCCGACUUGUUAUCCUCCCACCGUCAAGAGCGAGUGGUCAUCGCUGCUCUGUGAAGCCAGCCUGACGCGGUGCCCUCUGCUCUAAGAAUCAUGGGGCUUGGGCCUUCGCCCAGGCCGCAUGGCUCAGCUACCUGACUUGGAAUGGGCAGGCCAGGCUUCUACACGAUCGCAACCAACCCAUCUGUGGUUCCUUUGACCAUCCCAAACCUCACGUGCCCCCGCUUGGGUUACAAGCCAACGCUACCUGGCUCGGCGAUCGAGGCGCUUCCAAAGCUUAAGAUAAGGUUUAUACCUCUAAUUAAAAUGGCGAUGUGGGACAAAUACAACAUGCUUCCUCCCUGCCCUAUGCAGCGAUUCAUGCACCAAUUGCUUUGGAGAAGAGGCAAACUGCAUCGAUCGAUGCGUGAUCCUGUUGUGCAUUUAGAAUCUGUGAGAAGCUGGAAUCAGUUUUAUUUUUCGUAGAAAUUGAGGUAGAUAUUGGCAAAGCUUAAUUCCAUAACGUACAUAUACAUAUUUAAAUCUGGAAGAUUUUGAUCAGUAUAAAACUUAUGAAACUUUGAAUUGACCCGAGUUGAGAAACUUUAUGUAGUCGAUAAAACUGAGUAAAUUAUGUGACACUGUCUAUUGCGUUAAUUAAAGAGAAGAUGCAUGAUGAUUUUUAUCAUUCCGAUCAAAAUUUUGACUAAUCAAAUUAGGCCCAAGAAGGUUUUAGCAAGAACAAUAACUUGAACUAAAUUUAAGACAGGAAAAGAAAUACUAUAAUCACUCAAAACCUAUUAUUAGUAGUAUUGAUUAUGAAAUCGAUUGAAAUACUCCUAGGAAGAGGAAGGCAGAGGCCUCUUACAUUGUUAAAACAAAAGUUGAGAGAGAGGUUUGUUUACCAACAUAUUCUCUCAAGACUUGUUAUGUUUAAUUUUUUAGAUAUUGUCACUAGGAUUCUCUUUCUGGUAUCAAUAUGAUAAGGUCUAUUUUGAUCAUCAACUUGAACUAAUGAAUUUGAUUUAACUUAGAUGAUGAUUUUUUUUUCAAAAUAAAUAAUCUACGUAUCCCGUGUCUCUUAUCGCACUUUGGUUCAAGCCUAAUAAGUGUUCGGUAGUAUUAACUAUAUUUGGGAUUUUUUUGAUAAAAUCUCUGUCAAUGUGUAUAUAAACCCAUAAAUGCUCAUUUAGCAAAUUUCAAAAUAAAAAUAUACUUAUGAGAAUGAUAUAAUUUUUAUAAUUAUCAAUUUGCUUAGAGAAUUUACUUCAAAGAUACUUAUGAGAAUGUGUAUAUAAACCCAUAAAUGCUCAUUUAGCAAAUUUCAAAAUAAAAAUAUACUUAUGAGAAUGAUAUAAUUUUUAUAAUUAUCAAUUUGCUUAGAGAAUUUACUUCAAAGAUACUUAUGAGAAUGUGUAUAUAAACCCAUAAAUGCUCAUUUAGCAAAUUUCAAAAUAAAAAUAUACUUAUGAGAAUGAUAUAAUUUUUAUAAUUAUCAAUUUGCUUAGAGACUUUACUUCAAAGAUGCUCAACUGGUAGCACAUACUAAACAAGUUUUUUGCUCUCUACUGUAGUUAAUAUAGCCAAGUCCGGUUAGCAUUGAUUACAUUCGGUGUUAAGAGCCCUAAUUGAUCAAAAAUAAUAUAUCACUAGUCAAUUUUAAUUUAUUGACUAUAAUAUCUUUAAAAAUCAUCUAUAAAAGGUUUAACAAUAAUUUAUCAAUUUGCUUAGAGACUUUACUUCAAAGAUGCUCAACUGGUAGCACAUACUAAACAAGUUUUUUGCUCUCUACUGUAGUUAAUAUAGCCAAGUCCGGUUAGCAUUGAUUACAUUCGGUGUUAAGAGCCCUAAUUGAUCAAAAAUAAUAUAUCACUAGUCAAUUUUAAUUUAUUGACUAUAAUAUCUUUAAAAAUCAUCUAUAAAAGGUUUAACAAUAAUUUAUGUAUAUAUAUUUCUAAAUUUUAAAAUACUUUAAUUUUUUGGACUAAUAUCGAAAAAAAAUAAAAAAAGGUGGUGGUUUGGUCUAAGGAGCGAGGCGGGCGUGGUGGAUGCGAUGUGCGCCGACCUGUUAUCCUCCCACCGUCAAGAGCGAGUGGUUAUCGUUGCUCUGUGAAGCCAGCCUGACGCGGUGUCCUCUGCUCUAAGAAUCAUGGGGCUCGAGCCUUCGCCCAGGCCGCGUGGUUCAGCUACCUGACUUGGAACGGACAGGCCAGGCUCCUACACGAUCGCAACCAACCCAUCUGUUGUUCCUUUGACCAUCCCAAACCUCACGUGCCCCCGCUUGGGUUACAAGCCAACGCUACCUGGCUCGGCGAUCGAGGCGCUUCCAAAGCUUAAGAUAAGGUUUAUACCUCUAAUUAGAAUGGCGAUGUGGGACAAUUACAACAUGCUUCCUCCCUGCCCUAUGCAGCGAUUCAUGCACCAAUUUCUUUGGAGAAGAGGCAAACUGCAUCGAUCGAGCGUGAUCCUGUUGUGCAUUAGGAUCCGUGAGAAGCUGGAAUCAGUUUUAUUCUUCGUAGAAAUUGAGGAAGAUAUUGGCAAGGCUGAAUUCCAUAACGUACAUAUACAUAUAUAAAUCUGAAAGAUUUUGAUCAGUAUGAAACCUACUCGAGUAUAUACUUGCAAACUGAGCAGCAGAAGUACGAAGCUCAGCAAUACGGUCUGCUGCAUGAUUUAUAGGGAGCUUUGUUACAGGAAAAUGCUUGACAUCCUGUUAUAAACUUGGUGAGCUUUCAGAUGUUACAAGAAGACAACAGACAGUGUGAUAAGCCUUCUCUAGUACUUGACUAGAUCAAGCUCAUCCUAAGAGUUUGUGCAACCUACAUUAUUAUCAAGAGACCGAGUUCAGUUUCCGCAAUGAACUCGAGUGAUAUGCAUGGACUUUGUUUGGACGAAGGCAAGAAGCAUGAAAAGAAGGCAAAUACUGCAAACAAAUAUGGGAGAGAAGUGGUGAUAUGGUGAUAAUUAUAUCAGCUCGACUUAGUAUAGACGUAUGUUUUCACAAAAAGGUUGACGUGGCUGAAAAUUAGAAGGGAUAAGUUCUUGAAAAGAAAUUGGUUUCAGAGAGCUAUUGUCUACCUCUUUUCCUUUUUUUUUAUCUCAUGUCUCAUGUCAACAGGAUAUCUAUCUAUUGUUUUGAAUUAUUUAUAAAAUGCAAAAUUUUUCUUAUCAAUGAAAUAUGCUUCAGAUUAAGAUAGAGGUGAUUGAGGCUAAAUCGACUUAGCCUUUCUUAUCAAUGAAUUUUUCUUAGUGAUGCCCAAGGAGGGGUUUACGACGUUGGCUUAGUUGGUGGGACAACCGAUUGAAAUUUAUUAUGAAACUUUGAAUUGACCCAAGUCGAGAAACUUUAUGUAGUCGAUAAAGCUGAGUAAAUUAUGUAACACUGUCUAUUGCGUUAAUUAGAGAGAAGAUGCAUGAUGAUUUUUAUCAUCCCGAUCAAGAUUUUGACUAAUCAAGUUAGGCGCAAGAAGGUCUUAGCAAGAACAAUGACUUGAACUAAAUUUAAGACAGGAAAAGGAAUACUAUAAUCACUCAAAGCCUAUUAUUAUUAGUGUUGAUUUUAAAAUCGAUUGAAAUACUCGUAUGAAGAGGAAGGUAGAGGUCUCUUACCUAACAUCGAUUGUUACAACAAAAGUUGAGAAAGAGGUUUCUUUAUCUCCAUAUUCUCACAAGACUUCUUAUGUUUAAUUUUUUAUGAUAUUAUCAUGGGGAUUCUCUUUGUAGUAUCAAUACGAUAAAGUCUAUUUGAUUUUGAUUUAACUUAGAUGAUGAUUUUUUUUUCAAAAUAAAUAAUGUACGUAUCCCGUAUCUCUUAUAGCACUUUGGUUCGGUAGUAUUAACUAUAUUUGGGAUUUUUUUGAUAAAAUCUGUCUAUGUGUAUAUAAACCCAUAAAUGCUCAUUUAGUAAAUUUCAAAAUAAAAAUAUACUUAUAAGAAUGAUAUAAUUUUUAUAAUUAUCAAUUUUCUUAGAGAAUUUACUUCAAAGGUGCUCAACUGGUAGCACAUACUAAACAAGUUUUUUGCUUUCUACUGUAGUUAAUAUAGUCAAAUCCGGUUAGCAUUGAUUACAUUCUGUGUUAAGAGUCCUAAUUGAUCAAAAAUAAUAUAUCUUUAACAAUAAUAUGCAUUAUAUAUAUUUCUAAAUUUUAAAAUACUUUUUAAUUUUUUGGACAAAUAUUGACAAAAUAAAGAAAAAAGGUGGUGGUUUGGUCUAAGGAGCGAGGUGGGCGUGGUGGAUGCGAUGUGCGCCGACUUGUUAUCCUCCCACCGUCAAGAGCGAGGUGGUCAUCGCUGCUCUGUGAAGCCAGCCUGACGCGGUGCCCUCUGCUCUAAGAGCCAUGGGGCGUACCUGACUUGGAACGGGCCUUCGCCCAAGCCGCAUGGCUCAGCUACCUGACUUGGAACGGGCAGGCCAGGCUUCUACACGAUCGCAACCAACCCAUCUGUGGUUCCUUUAACCAUCCCAAACCUCACGUGCCCCCGCUUGGGUUACAAGCCAACGCUACCUGGCUCGGC